rnacentral:lncRNA from 1 species
GUAUGUAUCUUUAUGGUUAGAUUCUGAAAUCUUACCUUCAUUUUUUUUUUUUUCAAAUUGACCCAUAUAUGUGUUACUAACUUGAUUUAAACACUUUCUAAGUUUUUUUUUUAAGUUUAAGAAAGUGUUUUUUGCAUAGUUAAUUGAUUUUAGGGUCUGGAAGACUCACAAAAGACUUAAAAAGAAGUCUUCAGACACAUCCCGCCUAAAUUUUAGUAGAAUUUAUGGUUCCCGCCUAAAUUUUGGAAUUAUUUAUGUUUCUCGCCUAAAUCAAAGUCUUCCUGGAGUCUUCCAUAAGUCUUCCAGAAGUCUUCCAGGAGUCUUCCAUAAGUCUUCCAGAGAAAGUCUUCUCAUGGUUUAGAUUUUAAAAAUAAGUUAAAAGUUUUAUAAAAAAUAUUUUCAUGGGUUAAAAUUUGAAAUCAUGUAAUAUUAAAUAUUUUUCAAUGAUGUAAAUUUAGUUUAUCUGAAAUUGAAUUAUUUUCAACAUAGAUGAGUGAAUGUAGAUUGGUUCAUGAGUCAUUGGUUUAGGGUUUGGUAACAUAUGUUAUAGUAUUGUUGGUAUCUUUAGGGUUAGAUUUGAAAUCUUAUCUUCAUUUUUUUUUCCUUUUUCAAAUUGACUUAACUAUCUAAUAAUUUGAUUUAAACACUUUAUAAGUUUUUUUUAAGUUCAAAAAGUUUUUUUUUGCAUAGUUAUUUGAUUUUAGGGUCUAGAAGACUCACUAAAAACUUAAAAAGAAGUCUUCCGACACAUCCCGCCUAAAUCAAAGUCUUCCAUAAGUCUUCCAUGAGUCUUACAUAAGUCUUCCAUGAGUCUUCCAUAACUCUUCCAGAAGUCUUCUGAGUCGAAAAUAUUUAACCUAAUUGGAAUUUUUGUCUCCAUAUA